rnacentral:rRNA from 1 species
GUCUAUACAUGCAGUCGAGCGGACAGAAGGGAGCUUGCUCCCGGAUGUUAGCGGCGGACGGGUGAGUAACACGUGGGUAACCUGCCUGUAAGACUGGGAUAACUCCGGGAAACCGGAGCUAAUACCGGAUAGUUCCUUGAACCGCAUGGUUCAAGGAUGAAAGACGGUUUCGGCUGUCACUUACAGAUGGACCCGCGGCGCAUUAGCUAGUUGGUGAGGUAACGGCUCACCAAGGCGACGAUGCGUAGCCGACCUGAGAGGGUGAUCGGCCACACUGGGACUGAGACACGGCCCAGACUCCUACGGGAGGCAGCAGUAGGGAAUCUUCCGCAAUGGACGAAAGUCUGACGGAGCAACGCCGCGUGAGUGAUGAAGGUUUCGGAUCGUAAAGCUCUGUUGUUAGGGAAGAACAAGUGCAAGAGUAACUGCUUGCACCUUGACGGUACCUAACCAGAAAGCCACGGCUAACUACGUGCCAGCAGCCGCGGUAAUACGUAGGUGGCAAGCGUUGUCCGGAAUUAUUGGGCGUAAAGGGCUCGCAGGCGGUUUCUUAAGUCUGAUGUGAAAGCCCCCGGCUCAACCGGGGAGGGUCAUUGGAAACUGGGAAACUUGAGUGCAGAAGAGGAGAGUGGAAUUCCACGUGUAGCGGUGAAAUGCGUAGAGAUGUGGAGGAACACCAGUGGCGAAGGCGACUCUCUGGUCUGUAACUGACGCUGAGGAGCGAAAGCGUGGGGAGCGAACAGGAUUAGAUACCCUGGUAGUCCACGCCGUAACGAUGAGUGCUAAGUGUUAGGGGUUUCCGCCCCUUAGUGCUGCAGCUAACGCAUUAAGCACUCCGCCUGGGGAGUACGGUCGCAAGACUGAAACUCAAAGGAAUUGACGGGGGCCCGCACAAGCGGUGGAGCAUGUGUUUAAUUCGAAGCAACGCGAAGAACCUUACCAGGUCUUGACAUCCUCUGACAACCCUAGAGAUAGGGC